rnacentral:lncRNA from 1 species
UUGCUCCUAAAAACCAUAGGCAUUGCCUAUAUAUAUGCAACCAACUUCAUCAAAAUCAUCAAAAGCUCACUCUCCUUAUAUUGAUCACCAUGGUUCUUCACAAAGCUUCAAGUGUUGUUUUCUUGGUGUUACUAGGUUUGGGCAUUUGUGCUGCGACUAGAGCUCUCUUGACUAUAGAAGAGAGCAUUCCUUACACUCAUGGUGGUUUAGCAGGAGGUGGUGGUGGUGGAGGGGGUAGUGGCGGUGGAGGUGGUGGUGGUAUUGGGGCAGAAGGAGGACAUGGUGCUGGAUAUGGAGGUGGAGGUGGAGCUGGAAAAGGUGGUGGUGCGGGGUAUGGUGGUGGAGCAGCAGGAGGUGGAGGUGGAGGUGGUGGUAUUGGAGGAGGUGGUGGAGGAGGAGGAGGAGAGGCAGGUGUAGGUGCAGGUUAUGGAGGAGGAGAAGGAGGUGGGAGUGGUGGUGGACAUGGUGGUGGAGCACUUGGAGGUGGAGGUGGAGGUGGUGGUACCGGAGGAGGUGGUGGUGGAGGAGUUGGAGAACACGGUGGGGGUUAUGGUGGGGGAGAAGGAGGAGGGAUUGGUGGUGGACAUGGUGGUGGAGCACUUGGAGGUGGAGGUGGAGGUGGUGGUACCGGAGGAGGUGGUGGUGUAGGAGUUGGAGAACAAGGUGGGGGUUAUGGUGGAGGAGAAGGAGGAGGGAUUGGUGGUGGGUAUGGCGGUGGAGCACUCGGAGGUGGAGGUGGAGGUGGUGGUACAGGAGGUGGUGGUGGUGGAGGAGCUGGAGCACACGGUGGGGGUUAUGGUGGAGGAGAAGGAGGUGGGAAUGGCGGUGGAUAUGGUGGAGCUGCAGGAGGAGUUGGUGGUGGAGGUGGAGGCGGCCAUGGUGGUGGUGGCGGAGGAGGAGCUGGCAUAGGAGGAGCAGGAGGAAGUGGAUAUGGUAGUGGAGGCGGAGCUGGAGGGGGUGCCGGGGGAUCGUAUGGUGGAUACGGUGGUGGAGGUGGUUCAGGAGGAGGAGGAGGCGGUGGUAGUGCAGGAGGUGAGCAUGGAGCAGCAGGUGGAUAUGGAGGUGGUAGUGGGAGUGGAGAAGGCGGUGGUCAUGGUGGCUAUAUUCCUUAAGAAUGUCCAAAACGGACAAUGAUCUGUUUUCCUGUACAAUAAGAAAUUAAGCAGAUGCAUGCAAACAUAAGCUGCAUCAAGAUGUAAUCUUAUAAGUCAUUCAACGUGUGUUUAUGAAUUUUAUUACGUGUUCUGCAUCAUAAUCUACAUGCAUGCAUAUGAUCAAAAUAAUAUAUAAGAAUAAAGCUACAUUUCACGACGUACAUCUUAGAAAUAUCUUAUGAA